AGUUGUUUUAUGAAAAAUUGCAAUAAGAGAAAGAGACAGACGUACAGAGAGAGAGAGGGAGAAAGACAGACAAACGGACAGAGAGAGAUGUCCACAUGAGAAUUUCUGUACCGAGAUUAAGAGAAUUACAAACACACUUUUGACUGGUUAUCUGCGGUGAUCGAGUGCAGUAGUAUCCUGUUGAAAUAAAAGACAGCUCAGAGUCUUGACGUUGUGGAAGGCGAUUAAAAACGAAGUGUUUGAUUAAGAUUUUUUGUGAAGUAUGCAUACCAAUAAUAAUAACAUCUAAAAUGAACAGGUCUUUUUGUGUGCUAACCACUAUCUGCCUGGUUCUAUUUACGAUUUCAAAUGCGCUAUUCAUCAAAAAGAGUAUGUUUGACGACACUCCACAAAGAACACUAGAGUAUUUUUCAAAAAGAGGAUGGUGCUUCAACAUGACUCCAGACUGUUCCCUUAUGAUCGGCCCGGGGGAGAAGAUGUUACUGUGUAGUAUGCCAUAUUACCGACGUGUUUGUUGUCGGUUUUGUAGGGAAAGCUGACAAAUGUGACUGCCGUUAGAAUGAACACAAGAAAAUCAAGGAUGGCAUUUCACCGCAGAGAAAUAUAUACUAAACUUUAUAUUAUUAUAUAAAAUUCACACAAAACAAACCCUUGUAUUUCUUUAGUUUUAUUGUGAAACUGUAACAAAUAAACCUUACACAACCA